rnacentral:ncRNA from 1 species
GCAAAGUUUGAUCUUGGCUUAAGAAGUAAUAUUAGUUAUGAGAUAACAUGUUGUAUGUAAAGUUUGUUUGGCCAAUUUAUAUUAAAUUUUAUAUAAAUUUAAUUGGAAGUUAAAUUGGAGUCGCAGCCAUUAGUAUUAUAUAAUUACUUAUUGGUAGAUAUAGUUAUUAAAUAUAAAUUCGGUAAAAUUUGGUGCCAGCAGCCGCGGUCAGACUAGGGAGUUAAAUUAAUAAGUAUUUACUAGGUAGUUAGUUUAGUUAUAAUUAAUAAAUUUGAAGUUUAGUGUAAUUGGGGGGUGAAAUUUGUAAUUGGGGCUAAGUAGUAAAGGUUUUUAAUUUUAUAAUGAGGCUAUCAAGGGAGUGUGUUAAACUAGGAUUAGAUACCCUGUUAUUUGUUCAAUAAUUUAAUUAAGGUAGUGAUAGUAUAUUGAAGUUUAAAUCUAAUAGAUUUGGCGGUAUCCGUUACUUAUCAGAGGAACUUGCUUUGAUAAUCGAUAGUCCUCGAAUAAUCUUACCUUUGUUUGUAGAGAUCAGUUUGUAUACCGUCAUAGAUGUAAUUUUUAUAAAAUUAUAAUUAUUUAAAUAAUUUUUAAGAUGAGACAUUAGAUCAAGGUGCAGCUUAUACAAGGGGUGGAGUUAGUUACAGUAUAUUUUUAUAGGUAGGGAGUGGAUAAUAGUAAUAAAUAUUAUUUGAAAGUGGAUUUGAUUGUAAUUUAAAUUUUAAUAAGGUAUAUUGAUAGUGGUUCUGGGAUAUGUACAUAUCGCCCGUCGCUUCCAUUUAAUAGGUGGGAUAAGUCGUAACAUAGUAGGUGUACUGGAAAGUGUAUCUAGAAUUAG